rnacentral:rRNA from 1 species
UACGAAGGGGGCUAGCGUUGUUCGGAAUUACUGGGCGUAAAGCGCACGUAGGCGGCUUUGUAAGUUAGAGGUGAAAGCCUGGAGCUACCAACUCCAGAAUUGCCUUUAAGACUGCAUCGCUUGAAUCCAGGAGAGGUGAGUGGAAUUCCGAGUGUAGAGGUGAAAUUCGUAGAUAUUCGGGAAAGAACACCAGUGGCGAAGGCGGCUCACUGGACUGGUAUUGACGCUGAGGUGCGAAAGCGUGGGGGAGCAAACAGG